rnacentral:lncRNA from 1 species
UCACCUGGCCUGGUGAAGGCAUGGGAGGGGGAACGGAUACACGAGGAGUGCGCCUCGGAUGAGCACGAGCUGGAGCUCACCCUUGGGAGUUCAAAGACCCGUGCUGAUCCCUCCUGAUCUUUCUGCAAGAGUCAGUGCCUCUUAUUCGCCUGGGAAUUACAUUUCAUAUUUAUUUGGACGGUGCUCCUCUAUUUUAUGGGUUCAGUGUUUGUAGAAAGAGAGAAGGGAUUCAGAGAUCGUACCGUGGUCCUCUGGAGAUGAUAUCCAUCCUCUUUCAGGGAUCUGAACUUGUUCUAGCCUAAGCAAAUGGUUAACUUAUUUAUUUAAU